GCGGCUUCCUUGCAUCCUUAUAUCAGGAACCCGGCGAGAGCUUUAAUAGCCUAUUGGAAGUUCAUUCAGAUCCACACGAGAGACAGACAGAUAGCACAGUUGGAUGAAAAAAAAUUCAAGACGGAAGAAUUCCACUAUUACGUUAAGCAAGCGACGAUAACGUGGGAACAGCUGAUCUCCGACCGGCUGUUGUGGAGCUCCGCCCCCAUCCACGUGGUCUACUACGAACAGCUGGUCCAGGAUCCCAUUUUCUAUGUUAAGGAAAUGCUCGAGUUUCUCAGAAUCCCCGCAGACGAAAAUCGCCUCCGCUGCCUCGAGAACCACCUAGAAGGCUCAUUCAAGCGGCCCCACAGGAACGAAUCUGACCCUUACGAACCGGAGGAAAAGGCCGCCAUGUCCUACGCCGUUCAGAGAGUCAGACGUCUGCUGAACCUGCUCGGUUAUCCGGAAAUGCCGAAAUAUGAGGAGCUGGUGUGAAGGGGGGAUGCGGAGGCUCUGGUGUAUGUUCUUCUUCCUCUUUUCCUUCUUCUUCUUCCUCUUCUUCUC